rfam:Cricetulus griseus cell line CHO-K1, whole genome shotgun sequence.
GUUUGUAGUAUACAGCUGUGUACAUUUGUAUUUGGCGACUCCGAGGAGGAACUGACAAGUUCAGACUCCCGACCGCGGCUCCAGGAGACGUCCUGGUAGC